rnacentral:rRNA from 1 species
GACAAACGCUGGCGGCGCGCUUAACACAUGCAAGUCGAGCGAGAACCAGGACUUCGGUCCUGGGGACAGCGGCGAACGGGUGAGUAACACGUGGAUAACCUGCCCUCGGCACCGGGAUAGCCCGGGGAAACCCGGAUUAAUACCGGAUGGCCCUUCCGGCUCACGCGCCGGUCGGAAAAGGUAGCUUCGGCCUCCGGCCGAGGAUGGGUCCGCGGCGGAUUAGCUUGGUGGUGGGGUAAUGGCCUACCAAGGCUCCGAUCCGUAGCUGGUCUGAGAGGACGAUCAGCCACACUGGGACUGAGACACGGCCCAGACUCCGACGGGGGGGAGCAGUGGGGAAUCUUGCGGGAGGGGCGAAAGCCUGACGCAGCGACGCCGCGUGAGGGAGGAAGGCCUUCGGGUUGUAAACCUCUUUCAGGAGGGACGAAGCUACUCGGGUGAAUAGCCCAGGGGGUGACGGUACCUCCAGAAGAAGCCCCGGCUAACUACGUGCCAGCCGCCGCAGUAACAC